CGAGUGCAAACGCGACCUGGGGAUAACAAUUAUGAAGAUGAGAAUCUUGUUUUGUCGGUACUGCUUAGGUUAAAUUUUCUGCAACUUUCAGUAGAUUGCAUCAUCAGUUACUAUAAAAAGAAGAACAAGCCGCACGGCAGAGUAUUUUGAUGCAAACCUACUACCUAGUUAUCCAGGUCAUUGUUCAAUGGAAUAAGUUAACAGCUGGCUAGCUACCUACUACUAGGCCUAUCGCAUGAGUGAGAUGUAAUCUUCGCAGCGUCGGCUGUACUCAUCCUGCAUACGUGGUUUCAAGGUUGCCCUCUCGACAGCAGCCUAGGCCGGAGCCUAGCCUAGCUAGCUAGGUUUACUCUUUAAUGAAGUAAUACUUUUAUUAGCAGAAAAAAUACACGAAAUUUGUUUAGUGUGUACGUAAAAUUUCAUUGUUAACUGUUGACAAUUGGUUGCUAACAAAUUAUUAAGCAGAACAAAACAGGAGCCUGAAUUGAAUGAAGUUGAACCAUGAUUUAACUCAGACUGAAUUGACGUUUGUGUGAUUAAAGACUGACUAUUUAAGUCUAUGGGAGUGCAUCGCCAACUGAGGUUGUUUCGGACGAUAUAUUUUACAAUAUUUUGCUUCAAAUGUAGGACGUUCUAAAGCAAUUCUGAAUAGGUGAUUAUUAUAGAACUAAGGCCUAUCAAUAUCAUUACAUUGUUAAUUCUUCUACUAUUCUACAUCAAGCAUUUUUCAUCAACAAGCAGCUGAUUUAAAUUAUAAAUAUCCUAGGCCCCACCUGUUCUACAUUCAAAAUGUGUGCAGCAAUUGUAACUAACUUUAUGCCAGACUCGAUGAGUCCAGAACUUCUGCAGUCCCCAACAACUCCAGACAUGCCCGAGAAGGCGGCUAGCCUCUUUGCUCCUGAUGACGCUGAUCUUGUUGGCAAAGACAGCCAUAUAUUGGCACAAAAUUCUUCUAAGACACGAUUUGUUAGUCCAAGUGAGGAGAUAUUCGAUCACCUGAAAAAACAAUUGGAGCAGCGACUGUGUGACGGCAAUGGCGAGGCCAUAUAUGAACUCGGACAAGGAGGAGAUGGAACUGAAGACGGCCUAUCAGAAGAAGACAUGGCAGCGUCCAUAGCAACAUUAAAAAGCAUGGCAGAGACUCUGAAUGCAGAUGUGGUGUUGCUACGGGAACGCCAAGUGAACAGCAAGGCAGUCCAAGAGCUUCUCAUCAGGGCAAGAGCAGAAGAGGAGGAUUUUCUAGAAGUCAGAGUUGCUGUUGUCGGUAAUGUUGAUGCUGGUAAGAGCACUCUCCUCGGCGUCCUCACCCACGGGGAGCUAGACAAUGGUAGAGGAUUGGCACGACAGCGGCUGUUCCGGCACAAACACGAGAUGGAGUCAGGACGGACCAGCAGUGUGGGCAAUGACAUCCUUGGCUUUGAUAGCCAAGGACAAGUUGUAAACAAGCCAGAUUCUCACGGUGGUAAUUUGGAUUGGGUUCGAAUCUGCGAAGAAUCUUCUAAAGUGAUUACUUUCAUAGAUUUAGCUGGACAUGAGAAAUACUUGAAAACUACUGUUUUUGGAAUGACCGGGCAUGUACCUGACUUUGGCAUGCUGAUGAUUGGAAGCAAUGCUGGUAUUAUAGGAAUGACCAAAGAGCAUCUUGGGCUAGCAUUAGCGUUGAAUGUUCCCAUUUUUGUUGUAGUAACCAAGAUUGAUAUGUGCCCUCCUAAUGUCCUCCAAGAUACCUUAAAAUUGCUGCUAAGAAUUCUCAAAUCUCCCGGGUGCAGGAAAAUACCAGUGCUAGUUAACAGUCAAGAUGAUGUCGUCACAUCUGCAACCAACUUUAGCUCAGAAAGAGUUUGUCCAAUCUUCCAAGUGUCAAAUGUUACUGGUGAGAAUCUGGAUUAUCUGAAGAUGUUCCUGAACCUCCUGACAACUAGAAUGAAAUGCGAUGAGAGUGAUCCAGCUGAGUUCCAAAUAGAUGACACUUACUCUGUUCCAGGUGUUGGCACUGUGGUCUCAGGGACAACUUUAAAAGGUGUAAUACGUGUGAAUGAUACAUUACUGCUAGGCCCAGAUCCACUUGGUCAGUUCCAGUCAGUGAUUGUGAAGAGUAUACACCGUAAGAGAAUGCCCGUUAAGGUGGUUAAGGCUGGGCAAACCGCCUCCUUUGCUCUUAAGAAGCAAAUUAAGCGGUCCCAUGUACGUAAAGGAAUGGUGAUGGUCUCACCACGUAUGAAACCUGAGGCAUGCUGGGAAUUUGAGGGUGAAAUUCUCGUCCUGCAUCAUCCAACAACGAUUAGUGCACGGUAUCAAGCUAUGGUACAUUGUGGGAGUAUACGGCAAACUGCUUCAAUAAUUUACAUGAACAAGGAACAUUUAAGAACAGGUGAUAAGGCCAUUGUUCAUUUCCGCUUCAUAAAGAACCCAGAGUUUAUUCAUGCGGACACUAGAAUGGUUUUCAGGGAAGGAAAGACCAAAGCUGUUGGUAGGAUAGUAAAAGUGUUCCCCCAUCUGCCGCCAAUGGAGCAGAAACAGAAACAAAAGGCCGGGCGAGGUCGAGGUCACCACAAUCACCAUCACCAUGGUACCCGCGGACAAGGAUCUAGUCAAAACGUCAGUGAUGGAUUGCCAUUAGGACAGACCAGUCCACAAUACUAUGCUCCAACUUACAGAGGGCAAGGUAGACGAGGAGGUGGAAGGCGAAGCAGGAAUCGUAAGGCCAAAGAUUCUCAAGAAGAAAGUGUUGGCCAGGAUGUAGGCCCACAUCAGUCAAGCAUUGCAGCGCCAACGUCAUAAAAUAUUUUUGGACUUUUAAAAAAGAAAAGUUGAGCAAUUUUUUGAACUUGUAAAAGCUAACAUUUGUGGAAAAAUCUCAAUUUUCGGAUGGAAACAUGAGAUUUUCAACAUUUUUAUAUCAAGUUGUUGGUAUUUGAUUAUUGUGGUGUGAACUGUCCAUUACAGAAAUGGAAGAUGUUUGUUGAACUUUCUGUGUUGAGAAUCUGCAAUCAGUAUUAGGAUUAAAAUUAAUAUAAUACUUACAUUCGUUGAAACUUCGAUGUUUUUCCCGUUUUUUUUAUAUUAUGGUUUAAACAUGUUUUAAAUUAAAGUAACAUUUUGACACUUAUCUUCAGGUUUUAGAUUUGUUAAAACUCUUUUGUUUUUGUUUAAGACAGGCAAUAAAUGUUGGUAGCUGUAAUUGGUUGAACAGGUGUUGGUUGCCAGGCAAUAAAUGUUGGUAGCUGUAAUUGGUUGAACAGGUGUUGGUUGCCUGUGCUCUUGGCAGAUUGGGCUUGAGGAUAAGUUUUACUUAAUUGGAACUUCUGUAAACUUAAUUUUUUUAGUGUCUCCAUAGUUUUAUUCACCAUUUGUUCUACUAACAUGAACGACAAGUUUUACCAUUUAUUUAUAAUGAAUAUUAUAAUUAUUUGAUUGCGAUUUUAUAUUAAUGACCAUAAUUAAAAUUGUGUACAUUUCAUGAAAUUUAACAAAAAUAAAUGAUUAUUAAAUUUAUUCUGCAAGCAUUUUUUUUUCAUUGAUUUGUAAUCAAACUAUAAAUUUUACUCUAUCCUUGUGUCUAUAAAAACUGUCAUUCAUUCAUUUUUAUACACAUCAGCCAAUGGCGGGUGGGGUGGUAGAAAACAUACAGCAUUUGUUAUAGUGAAAAUUGUACUUUGCUAAUGAAUAUUCAUAGAUUGUCUACAAUAAUUGUGCUUCUGGAUGAUUAGGUUGACAAGUUAUAUCUGCCAUAUUAAUAUAAAUCUGGAUGUACAGUAUUAUAAGCCAAGUAUGGACAGUGACUAUCAUAUCUGCAUGUCUGUUAUGAAUAUUCAUAACAUAUAUUUAAAUGUUUAACACAUGCUUUUUAACCCUAAUUAAAUAUUCAAAACAUGUCUACUUGAAUAUUCUCAUGUCUCAUUGCAUUUAAUUUCCUACACAUUGUGUUGCAUUUCACAUUUAUAAUAUGUUUUAUUAACUAUUCAUGUUUAUAAUACACCUUAAUAGAUCUUUGUCAUUUGAUGGAUUUCACUCAUUGUGGAAAUUUAGUUCCACUGUGCAUUUGUAGUUCCAUCCCUGUAUUUUUUUAUCCAUCUGUUUUGUUCCAUUGCACGCCUCAACCCAAUGCAAUCUUUUCAUUUGUUCAAAAGAUGCUGGACUCUUCCAUUCCGAAAAAAGUUAGAUAUUUUUCAUAAAAUAUCAAAUUACAAGAAUCUGUUUUAGGUGUGUUAUAAAUUCAGUCGAUGGAAAGAAUAUUUUUUUUAAUGAUUUCAUACAUUACAAAUUCUUGACUACCUUAUGAAUAUUUAUUUGUUAAUACAAAGCUAGUUGAAUAUUCAUGAGAAAUUAUAUUGUUCAUAUGAAGUGCCACUGGGCAUCUCAUUGACCAUGAAUAUUCUUGUUACCCCAGUAGGUUCCUAUCGUGUGUGUGGAUUUAUUUUUGUACACAAGAUUUUGGUAUAUAAUGUGUUAACACAAUAAGUGCUAACAAAUCAAAGAUAUAUUGUCAUCUAUUAAUGUUUUGAUCUUAUAAUAAUAUUUGGUAUUUUGACACACGUUUGAAUACACAUUUUAAAACAAUUUAAACUGUACAGCUAAUGUUAAUAGACCUGAUACAAUUAAAAUUUAAAUGCUGUGAAAUGUAUUUGUCAUGUGUUAUUAUAUUAUAUGAAUGUAACUUGCAAUAAAAUUGACAAUUUUGUACAUUUCUGUGAUAUAGAGAGGGUGCUCUUCAAUUUUAACAUCUUUGCAAGAGGGCGCACUGUAUUGUUACUUUACUAUCUUUUAAUCUCAUACUGAGUUGAAAAUAACCACGGAAAGAUUCAAUCUCAAUAUAUUUGGUAUCAUACGAUAGUUAAUACAAAAAAUACUAAGCUAACAACAUUUUCGUCUUAUACGUUCUCAAAAACUGACCACAUACAAAAUAAAACACCUAUAAAGAUUUCAGACAUCCAUUUUGUAUUUCGUAGUAUAACAGUAUGUCAAAGGAUUUAUUGGUAUCUUGUGUAUUAAGUGCAAAAUUUGACCCAAAAAAAAAAA
rnacentral:misc_RNA from 1 species